rnacentral:rRNA from 1 species
UGCAGUCGAGCGGGGAAAGGUAGCUUGCUACCUGACCUAGCGGCGGACGGGUGAGUAAUGCUUAGGAAUCUGCCUAUUAGUGGGGGACAACAUUCCGAAAGGAAUGCUAAUACCGCAGACGCCCUACGGGGGAAAGCAGGGGAUCUUCGGACCUUGCGCUAAUAGAUGAGCCUAAGUCAGAUUACCUAGUUGGUGGGGUAAAGGCCUACCAAGGCGACGAUCUGUAGCGGGUCUGAGAGGAUGAUCCGCCACACUGGGACUGAGACACGGCCCAGACUCCUACGGGAGGCAGCAGUGGGGAAUAUUGGACAAUGGGCGAAAGCCUGAUCCAGCCAUGCCGCGUGUGUGAAGAAGGCCUUUUGGUUGUAAAGCACUUUAAGCGAGGAGGAGGCUACUUGGAUUAAUACUCUAGGAUAGUGGACGUUACUCGCAGAAUAAGCACCGGCUAACUCUGUGCCAGCAGCCGCGGUAAUACAGAGGGUGCGAGCGUUAAUCGGAUUUACUGGGCGUAAAGCGUGCGUAGGCGGCUUUUUUAAGUCGGAUGUGAAAUCCCUGAGCUUAACUUAGGAAUUGCAUUCGAUACUGGGAAGCUAGAGUAUGGGAGAGGAUGGUAGAAUUCCAGGUGUAGCGGUGAAAUGCGUAGAGAUCUGGAGGAAUACCGAUGGCGAAGGCAGCCAUCUGGCCUAAUACUGACGCUGAGGUACGAAAGCAUGGGGAGCAAACAGGAUUAGAUACCCUGGUAGUCCAUGCCGUAAACGAUGUCUACUAGCCGUUGGGGCCUUUGAGGCUUUAGUGGCGCAGCUAACGCGAUAAGUAGACCGCCUGGGGGAGUACGGUCGCAAGACUAAAACUCAAAUGAAUUGACGGGGGCCCGCACAAGCGGUGGAGCAUGUGGUUUAAUUCGAUGCAACGCGAAGAACCUUACCUGGUCUUGACAUUAGUAGAACUUUCCAGAGAUGGAUUGGUGCCUUCGGGAACUUACAUACAGGUGCUGCAUGGGCUGUCGUCAGCUCGUUUCGUGAGAUGUUGGGUUAAGUCCCGCAACGAGCGCAACCCUUUUCCUUAUUUGCCAGCGGGUUAAGCCGGGAACUUUAAGGAUACUGCCAGUGACAAACUGGAGGAAGGCGGGGACGACGUCAAGUCAUCAUGGCCCUUACGACCAGGGCUACACACGUGCUACAAUGGUCGGUACAAAGGGUUGCUACCUAGCGAUAGGAUGCUAAUCUCAAAAAGCCGAUCGUAGUCCGGAUUGGAGUCUGCAACUCGACUCCAUGAAGUCGGAAUCGCUAGUAAUCGCGGAUCAGAAUGCCGCGGUGAAUACGUUCCCGGCCCUUGUACACACCGCCCGUCACACCAUGGGAAUUUGUUGCACCAGAAGUAGGUAGUCUAACCGCAAGGAGGACGCUA